GAUUAAGUUAUUAAGGGCGCACGGUGGAUGCCUUGGCACUAGAAGCCGAUGAAGGACGUUACUAACGACGAUAUGCUUUGGGGAGCUGUAAGUAAGCUUUGAUCCAGAGAUUUCCGAAUGGGGAAACCCAGCAUGAGUUAUGUCAUGUUAUCGAUAUGUGAAUACAUAGCAUAUCAGAAGGCACACCCGGAGAACUGAAACAUCUUAGUACCCGGAGGAAGAGAAAGAAAAUUCGAUUCCCUUAGUAGCGGCGAGCGAAACGGGAAGAGCCCAAACCAACAAGCUUGCUUGUUGGGGUUGUAGGACACUCUAUACGGAGUUACAAAGGACGACAUUA
rnacentral:rRNA from 1 species